rnacentral:lncRNA from 1 species
CCGGUACGAAGGAGAUCUCUGGAGAGAUGCCCUUUCAACCUUCUGUCUUUGCGAAAGGCCUAUUGAAUAAGGGCCGUGGAUGUGUCUAGCUGCCAGGUAAGAGCUGAGAGGAAGAAUUACUUUCGGUUCCUCAGACAGA